GGAUUAGAUACCCUGGUAGUCCACGCUGUAAACGGUGGGUACUAGGUGUGGGGUCCAUUCCACGGGUUCCGUGCCGUAGCUAACGCUUUAAGUACCCCGCCUGGGGAGUACGGCCGCAAGGCUAAAACUCAAAGGAAUUGACGGGGCCCCGCACAAGCGGCGGAGCAUGCGGAUUAAUUCGAUGCAACGCGUAGAACCUUACCUGGGUUUGACAUGGAUCGGGAGUGCUCAGAGAUGGGUGUGCCUCUUUUGGGGUCGGUUCACAGGUGGUGCAUGGCUGUCGUCAGCUCGUGCCG
rnacentral:rRNA from 1 species